AUAAAUUUUUUAUGGUUUAAAAAAUUUAAUAUAAAUAUAUUUUACAUAUAAAUUUUAGUAUAAAUUUUUAAUUAUUUUAAUAAUAAUUAAUUUAAUUAGUAGUAAUUAAUAUUAAAAAUUUAAGAAAUUAAGAUUUAGUAAUAUUUAAAUUAAUAACAAAUUUUGUGCCAGCAGUUGCGGUUAUACAAAAGUUAGAAUAAAUUUUAUUAGUAAUUAAUUAACAUAAUUUAAAAAUAAGUAAAUAAAUAUGAAAUUAUUAAGUGAAAUUUUAAUUUUGUAAAAAGUUAUUUAUUAAAUGUGAUUUAAUAAAUUUAAAAAUAAACUAGGAUUAGAUACCCUAUUAUAAAAAUUAAAUUAAAAAUACUAAAAUAGUAAAUAAUUAUUUAUUAAAACUUAAAUAAUUUGGCGGUAUUUUAGUUUAUUUAGAGGAAUCUGUCUAAUAAUUGAUAAUCCACGAAUAAAUUUACUUAAUUUAAAUUUUGUAUAUCGUUGUUAUAAAAAUAUUUUUUAAUAAUUAAUAAUAUUUUAAAAUUUAAAAUAAAAAUUAAAUCAGAUCAAGAUGCAGAUAAUAAUUAAGAAUAUGAUGGAUUACAAUAAAUUUAUUUAAAAUUGGAUAUUAAUUUGAAAAAAUUAAUUGAAAUUGGAUUUAAAUGUAAUUUUAUUUAAUUUAUUAAAAUGAUUAAAAAUUAAAAUAUGUACAUAUUGCCCGUCGCUUUCAUUAAUAAAUUGAAAUAAGUCGUAACAAAGUAGAGGUACUGGAAAGUGUUUCUAGAAAGAA
rnacentral:ncRNA from 1 species